CCUACGGGAGGCAGCAGUGAGGAAUAUUGGUCAAUGGACGAGAGUCUGAACCAGCCAAGUAGCGUGAAGGAUGACUGCCCUAUGGGUUGUAAACUUCUUUUAUAUGGGAAUAAAAUGUUCCACGUGAGGGAUUUUGUAUGUACCAUAUGAAUAAGGAUCGGCUAACUCCGUGCCAGCAGCCGCGGUAAUACGGAGGAGUCGAGGGUUAUCCGGAUUUAUUGGGUUUAAAGGGUGCGUAGGCGGACUGUUAAGUCAGCGGUAAAAUCCCGGGGCUCAACCCCGGCGAGCCGUUGAAACUGGCUGUCUGGAGAUGUCGAGAGGUAUGCGGAAUGCGCAGUGUAGCGGUGAAAUGCUUAGAUAUUGCGCAGAACUCCGAUUGCGAAGGCAGCAUACCGGCGGCGAUCUGACGCUGAGGCACGAAAGCGUGGGUAUCGAACAGGAUUAGAUACCCCAGUAGUC
rnacentral:rRNA from 1 species